AGAAUCAACGCUGGCGGCGUGCCUAACACAUGCAAGUCGCACGAGAAAGUGGAGCAAUCCAUGAGUAAAGUGGCGCACGGGUGAGUAACACGUGAAUAAUCUACCUCCGAGUGGGGAAUAACUGAGAGAAAUCUUAGCUAAUACCGCAUAAUACCUACGGGUCAAAGCAGCAAUGCGCUUGAAGAGGAGUUCGCGGCAGAUUAGUUAGUUGGCGGGGUAAUGGCCCACCAAGACGAUGAUCUGUA
rnacentral:rRNA from 1 species